AGAGCGAACGCUGGCGGCAGGCUUAACACAUGCAAGUCGAGCGGGCGUAGCAAUACGUCAGCUGCAGACGGGUGAGUAACGCGUGGGAACAUACCUUUUGGUUCGGAACAACCCAGGGAAACUUGGGCUAAUACCGGAUAAGCCCUUACGGGGAAAGAUUUAUCGCCGAAAGAUUGGCCCGCGUCUGAUUAGCUAGUUGGUGAGGUAACGGCUCACCAAGGCGACGAUCAGUAGCUGGUCUGAGAGGAUGAUCAGCCACAUUGGGACUGAGACACGGCCCAAACUCCUACGGGAGGCAGCAGUGGGGAAUAUUGGACAAUGGGCGCAAGCCUGAUCCAGCCAUGCCGCGUGAGUGAUGAAGGCCCUAGGGUUGUAAAGCUCUUUGUGCGGGAAGAUAAUGACGGUACCGCAAGAAUAAGCCCGGCUAACUUCGUGCCAGCAGCCGC
rnacentral:rRNA from 1 species